UUAAGCGACUAAGCGUACACGGUGGAUGCCCUGGCAGUCAGAGGCGAUGAAGGACGUGCUAAUCUGCGAUAAGCGUCGGUAAGGUGAUAUGAACCGUUAUAACCGGCGAUUUCCGAAUGGGGAAACCCAGUGUGAUUCGUCACACUAUCAUUAACUGAAUCCAUAGGUUAAUGAGGCGAACCGGGGGAACUGAAACAUCUAAGUACCCCGAGGAAAAGAAAUCAACCGAGAUUCCCCCAGUAGCGGCGAGCGAACGGGGAGGAGCCCAGAGCCUGAAUCAGUGUGUGUGUUAGUGGAAGCGUCUGGAAAGGCGCGCGAUACAGGGUGACAGCCCCGUACACAAAAAUGCACAUGCUGUGAGCUCGAUGAGUAGGGCGGGACACGUGGUAUCCUGUCUGAAUAUGGGGGGACCAUCCUCCAAGGCUAAAUACUCCUGACUGACCGAUAGUGAACCAGUACCGUGAGGGAAAGGCGAAAAGAACCCCGGCGAGGGGAGUGAAAAAGAACCUGAAACCGUGUACGUACAAGCAGUGGGAGCACGCUUAGGCGUGUGACUGCGUACCUUUUGUAUAAUGGGUCAGCGACUUAUAUUCUGUAGCAAGGUUAACCGAAUAGGGGAGCCGAAGGGAAACCGAGUCUUAACUGGGCGUUAAGUUGCAGGGUAUAGACCCGAAACCCGGUGAUCUAGCCAUGGGCAGGUUGAAGGUUGGGUAACACUAACUGGAGGACCGAACCGACUAAUGUUGAAAAAUUAGCGGAUGACUUGUGGCUGGGGGUGAAAGGCCAAUCAAACCGGGAGAUAGCUGGUUCUCCCCGAAAGCUAUUUAGGUAGCGCCUCGUGAAUUCAUCUCCGGGGGUAGAGCACUGUUUCGGCAAGGGGGUCAUCCCGACUUACCAACCCGAUGCAAACUGCGAAUACCGGAGAAUGUUAUCACGGGAGACACACGGCGGGUGCUAACGUCCGUCGUGAAGAGGGAAACAACCCAGACCGCCAGCUAAGGUCCCAAAGUCAUGGUUAAGUGGGAAACGAUGUGGGAAGGCCCAGACAGCCAGGAUGUUGGCUUAGAAGCAGCCAUCAUUUAAAGAAAGCGUAAUAGCUCACUGGUCGAGUCGGCCUGCGCGGAAGAUGUAACGGGGCUAAACCAUGCACCGAAGCUGCGGCAGCGACGCUUAUGCGUUGUUGGGUAGGGGAGCGUUCUGUAAGCCUGUGAAGGUGUGCUGUGAGGCAUGCUGGAGGUAUCAGAAGUGCGAAUGCUGACAUAAGUAACGAUAAAGCGGGUGAAAAGCCCGCUCGCCGGAAGACCAAGGGUUCCUGUCCAACGUUAAUCGGGGCAGGGUGAGUCGACCCCUAAGGCGAGGCCGAAAGGCGUAGUCGAUGGGAAACAGGUUAAUAUUCCUGUACUUGGUGUUACUGCGAAGGGGGGACGGAGAAGGCUAUGUUGGCCGGGCGACGGUUGUCCCGGUUUAAGCGUGUAGGCUGGUUUUCCAGGCAAAUCCGGAAAAUCAAGGCUGAGGCGUGAUGACGAGGCACUACGGUGCUGAAGCAACAAAUGCCCUGCUUCCAGGAAAAGCCUCUAAGCAUCAGGUAACAUCAAAUCGUACCCCAAACCGACACAGGUGGUCAGGUAGAGAAUACCAAGGCGCUUGAGAGAACUCGGGUGAAGGAACUAGGCAAAAUGGUGCCGUAACUUCGGGAGAAGGCACGCUGAUAUGUAGGUGAAGCGACUUGCUCGUGGAGCUGAAAUCAGUCGAAGAUACCAGCUGGCUGCAACUGUUUAUUAAAAACACAGCACUGUGCAAACACGAAAGUGGACGUAUACGGUGUGACGCCUGCCCGGUGCCGGAAGGUUAAUUGAUGGGGUUAGCGCAAGCGAAGCUCUUGAUCGAAGCCCCGGUAAACGGCGGCCGUAACUAUAACGGUCCUAAGGUAGCGAAAUUCCUUGUCGGGUAAGUUCCGACCUGCACGAAUGGCGUAAUGAUGGCCAGGCUGUCUCCACCCGAGACUCAGUGAAAUUGAACUCGCUGUGAAGAUGCAGUGUACCCGCGGCAAGACGGAAAGACCCCGUGAACCUUUACUAUAGCUUGACACUGAACAUUGAGCCUUGAUGUGUAGGAUAGGUGGGAGGCUUUGAAGUGUGGACGCCAGUCUGCAUGGAGCCGACCUUGAAAUACCACCCUUUAAUGUUUGAUGUUCUAACGUUGACCCGUAAUCCGGGUUGCGGACAGUGUCUGGUGGGUAGUUUGACUGGGGCGGUCUCCUCCUAAAGAGUAACGGAGGAGCACGAAGGUUGGCUAAUCCUGGUCGGACAUCAGGAGGUUAGUGCAAUGGCAUAAGCCAGCUUGACUGCGAGCGUGACGGCGCGAGCAGGUGCGAAAGCAGGUCAUAGUGAUCCGGUGGUUCUGAAUGGAAGGGCCAUCGCUCAACGGAUAAAAGGUACUCCGGGGAUAACAGGCUGAUACCGCCCAAGAGUUCAUAUCGACGGCGGUGUUUGGCACCUCGAUGUCGGCUCAUCACAUCCUGGGGCUGAAGUAGGUCCCAAGGGUAUGGCUGUUCGCCAUUUAAAGUGGUACGCGAGCUGGGUUUAGAACGUCGUGAGACAGUUCGGUCCCUAUCUGCCGUGGGCGCUGGAGAACUGAGGGGGGCUGCUCCUAGUACGAGAGGACCGGAGUGGACGCAUCACUGGUGUUCGGGUUGUCAUGCCAAUGGCACUGCCCGGUAGCUAAAUGCGGAAGAGAUAAGUGCUGAAAGCAUCUAAGCACGAAACUUGCCCCGAGAUGAGUUCUCCCUGACUCCUUGAGAGUCCUGAAGGAACGUUGAAGACGACGACGUUGAUAGGCCGGGUGUGUAAGCGCAGCGAUGCGUUGAGCUAACCGGUACUAAUGAACCGUGAGGCUUAACCUU
rnacentral:rRNA from 1 species